UACGAAGGGGACUAGCGUUGUUCGGAAUCACUGGGCGUAAAGCGCACGUAGGCGGAUUCGUAAGUCAGGGGUGAAAUCCCGGGGCUCAACCUCGGAACUGCCUUUGAUACUGCGGGUCUUGAGUCCGAUAGAGGUGGGUGGAAUUCCUAGUGUAGAGGUGAAAUUCGUAGAUAUCGUGAGGAAGACCAGGGGCGAAGGCGGGUCUCUGAACAGUUCCUGACACUGAGGCACGAAGGCCAGGGGAGCAAACGGG
rnacentral:rRNA from 1 species